rnacentral:rRNA from 1 species
UACGGAAGGCAGCAGUGGGGAAUAUUGCACAAUGGGCGAAAGCCUGAUGCAGCUAUGCCGCGUGUAUGAAGAAGGCCUUAGGGUUGUAAAGUACUUUCAUCGGGGAGGAAAAAACAAAACUAAUAAUUUUAUUUCUUGACGUUACCCGAAAAAGAAGCACCGGCUAACUCCGUGCCAGCAGCCGCGGUAAUACGGAGGGUGCUAGCGUUAAUCAGAAUUACUGGGCGUAAAGAGCACGUAGGUGGUUUUUUUAAGUCAGAUGUGAAAUCCCUGGGCUUUAACCUAGGAACUGCAUUUUGAAACUGAAAUACUAGAGUAUCGUAGAGGGAGGUAGAAUUCUAGGUGUAGCGGUGAAAUGCGUAGAUAUCUGGAGGAAUACCUGUGGCGAAAGCGGCCUCCUAAACGAAUACUGACACUGAGGGUGCGAAAGCGUGGGGAGCAAACAGGGAUUAGAUACCCGU